CCUACGGGAGGCAGCAGUGGGGGAUAUUGGACAAUGGGGGGAACUCUGAUGCAGCGACGCAGCGUGAGCGAAGAAGUCCCUCGGUAUGUAAAGCUGUAUCAGCAGGGAAGAAAAUGACGGUACCUGACUACGAAGCCCCGGCUAACUACGUGCAAGCAGCCGCGGUAAUACGUGGGGGUCAAGCGUUAUCCGGAUUUACUGGGUGUAAAGGGAGCGCAGGCGGGCUGCCAAGUCUGGGGUGAAAACCCGGGGCCCAACCCCGGGACUGCAUUGGAAACUGGCGGGCUGGAGUGUCGGAGGGGCAGGCGGAAUUCCUAGUGUAGCGGUGAAAUGCGUAGAUAUUAGGAGGAACACCGGUGGCGAAGGCGGCCUGCUGGACGAUGACUGACGCUGAGGCUCGAAAGCGUGGGGAGCAAACAGGAUUAGAUACCCCGGUAGUC
rnacentral:rRNA from 1 species